rnacentral:misc_RNA from 1 species
GAUGAAGAACGUAGUGAAAUGCGAUAAGUAAUGUGAAUUGCAGAAUUCAGUGAAUCAUCGAAUCUUUGAACGCACCUUGCGCCCUUUGGCUAUUCCGAAGGGCAUGCCUGUUUGAGUAUCAUGAACACCUCAACUCUCAUGGCUUGCCAUGACGAGCUUGGACUUUGGGGGUCUUGCUGGCCUGUGGGUCGGCUCCUCUCAAACGGAUCAGCUUUCCAGUGUUUGGUGGCGUCACGGGUGUGAUAACUAUCUACGCCUGUGGUUUUCUGCCAGAUAACCUUCAGCGAUGGAGGUUCGCUGGGGCUCAUAAAUGUCUCUCUUCAGUGGAGACAGCUUUUUGGACGUUUGAUCUCAAAUCAGGUAGGACUACCCGCUGAACUUAAGCAUAUCAAUAAGCGGAGGA